rnacentral:rRNA from 1 species
GACGAACGCUGGCGGCGUGCCUAAUACAUGCAAGUAGAACGCUGAAGAGAGGAGCUUGCUCUUCUUGGAUGAGUUGCGAACGGGUGAGUAACGCGUAGGUAACCUGCCUUGUAGCGGGGGAUAACUAUUGGAGACGAUAGCUAAUACCGCAUAACAAUGGAUGACACAUGUCAUUUAUUUGAAAGGGGCAAUUGCUCCACUACAAGAUGGACCUGCGUUGUAUUAGCUAGUAGGUGAGGUAACGGCUCACCUAGGCGACGAUACAUAGCCGACCUGAGAGGGUGAUCGGCCACACUGGGACUGAGACACGGCCCAGACUCCUACGGGAGGCAGCAGUAGGGAAUCUUCGGCAAUGGGGGCAACCCUGACCGAGCAACGCCGCGUGAGUGAAGAAGGUUUUCGGAUCGUAAAGCCCUGUUGUAAGUCAAGAACGAGUGUGAGAGUGGAAAGUUCACACUGUGACGGUAGCUUACCAGAAAGGGACGGCUAACUACGUG